rnacentral:rRNA from 1 species
AGAGCGAACGCUGGCGGCAGGCCUAAUACAUGCAAGUCGAACGCACCUUCGGGUGAGUGGCGGACGGGUGAGUAACACGUGGGAACGUGCCUUUUGGUUCGGAAUAAUCCGGGGAAACCUGGCCUAAUACCGGAUGUGCCCUUCGGGGGAAAGAUUUAUCGCCAUUAGAGCGGCCCGCGUCUGAUUAGCUAGUUGGUGAGGUAACGGCCCACCAAGGCGACGAUCAGUAGCUGGUCUGAGAGGAUGAUCAGCCACACUGGGACUGAGACACGGCCCAGACUCCUACGGGAGGCAGCAGUAGGGAAUCUUGCGCAAUGGGCGAAAGCCUGACGCAGCCAUGCCGCGUGAAUGAUGAAGGUCUUAGGAUUGUAAAAUUCUUUCAGCGGGGAAGAUAAUGACUGUACCCGCAGAAGAAGCUCGGCUAACUUCGCGCCAGCAGCCGC